rnacentral:rRNA from 1 species
GAGGAAUAUUGGACAAUGGGUGAGAGCCUGAUCCAGCCAUCCCGCGUGAAGGACGACGGCCCUAUGGGUUGUAAACUUCUUUUGUAUAGGGAUAAACCUAGAUACGUGUAUCUAGCUGAAGGUACUAUACGAAUAAGCACCGGCUAACUCCGUGCCAGCAGCCGCGGUAAUACGGAGGGUGCAAGCGUUAUCCGGAUUUAUUGGGUUUAAAGGGUCCGUAGGCGGAUUUGUAAGUCAGUGGUGAAAUCUCACAGCUUAACUGUGAAACUGCCAUUGAUACUGCAAGUCUUGAGUGUUGUUGAAGUAGCUGGAAUAAGUAGUGUAGCGGUGAAAUGCAUAGAUAUUACUUAGAACGCCAAUUGCGAAGGCAGGUUACUAAGCAACAACUGACGCUGAUGGACGAAAGCGUGGGGAGCGAAC